rnacentral:rRNA from 1 species
AUUGAACGCUGGCGGCAGGCCUAACACAUGCAAGUCGAGCGGAUGAGGGGAGCUUGCUCCUUGAUUCAGCGGCGGACGGGUGAGUAAUGCCUAGGAAUCUGCCUGGUAGUGGGGGAUAACGUUCCGAAAGGAACGCUAAUACCGCAUACGUCCUACGGGAGAAAGCAGGGGACCUUCGGGCCUUGCGCUAUCAGAUGAGCCUAGGUCGGAUUAGCUAGUUGGUGAGGUAAUGGCUCACCAAGGAGACGAUCCGUAACUGGUCUGAGAGGAUUAUAAGUCACACUGUAACUGAGACACGGUCCAGACUCCUACGGGAGGCAGCAGUGGGGAAUAUUGGACAAUGGGCGAAAGCCUGUUCCAGCCAUGCCGCGUGUGUGAAGAAGGUCUUCGGAUUGUAAAGCACUUUAAGUUGGGAGGAAGGGCAGUAAGUUAAUACCUUGCUGUUUUGACGUUACCAACAGAAUAAGCACCGGCUAACUUCGUGCCAGCCGCCGCGGUAAUAC